UUCGAUCCAAAUUAGCCAAAAUUUUCUGAGGAUGUAACGAACAAUUUGUAAAAAGAAUUUUGUCGCUAUCUUUUUUUGUUACGAAGGAGAUGCACACACAUGAUAAACAGUGAAUAGGGAGAUAACUCUUACAGAGAAAAUUGUUCGUCUUAGCAGGGUGAAAUUUAAAAGCGCAUAAACUAUACGAUACAAUAUGAGAAAUAUCUAAGCGACAUAUUGCGAAACAAACAUUUAUCGCAAGAACAAAAGUUGGCGGAAAAAAAAAAAAAUAAUAAUAAUAAUAAUAAUAAUAAUCAGAACAAAUACAAUAAGUCUUUCCACAGAAAAGUGGAAAGACUUAAUAAUC
rnacentral:lncRNA from 1 species